CGGGAAGUAGCUUAACUUGGUAGAGCACUUGCUUCGGGAGCAAGAGGUUGCAGGUUCAAAUCCUGUCUUUCCGACCA
rnacentral:tRNA from 3 species